rnacentral:rRNA from 1 species
CCUACGGGAGGCAGCAGUGAGGAAUAUUGGUCAAUGGACGAGAGUCUGAACCAGCCAAGUAGCGUGAAGGAUGACUGCCCUAUGGGUUGUAAACUUCUUUUAUAUGGGAAUAAAAUGUUCCACGUGUGGGAUUUUGUAUGUACCAUAUGAAUAAGGAUCGGCUAACUCCGUGCCAGCAGCCGCGGUAAUACGGAGGAUCCGAGCGUUAUCCGGAUUUAUUGGGUUUAAAGGGGGCGUAGGUGGAUUGUUAAGUCAGUUGUGAAAGUUUGCGGCUCAACCGUAAAAUUGCAGUUGAAACUGGCAGUCUUGAGUACAGUAGAGGUGGGCGGAAUUCGUGGUGUAGCGGUGAAAUGCUGAGAUAUCACGAAGAACUCCGAUUGCGAAGGCAGUUCACUGGACUGCAACUGACACUGAGGCUCGAAAGUGUGGGUAUCAAACAGGAUUAGAUACCCCUGUAGUC